CUUAGAUAAUUCUCUACUUCAUUCCACUGUUUGUCCUUGCAAGAAGCAAUACCUUGAGAAUUGUUUUCUGCAAGGGGCUGGAAAACGGAGUCUGAAUUCAUAAAAUUUGCACCUACCUGACCCUUCUUACCUUAGUUUUUGAGCAUCUUCUUGCACAGUGACUGCAGUGCUCAGAAUAUCUCCUAUUUCUGACCAUGGAGAAAGCUCUCCUGGUAGCCCUGCUGCUAGCUGGAGCACACAGCUCUGGGGGAGGUUUUAGUGGGUUUUUUGAAAAAUAAUUGAUCAGCUACCCAUCGAGAGCUAGUCCCAACCUGCAAUGCACUGAGGUUGUCCUUAUGUACCACUUAGUGCCACUUGGACUGUUGGCUCUUUAAAGCUGCCUUUAGGACUACCAGUGUAAUGAACGUGUGCUGGUGCUCUCUGGCAAGAUUUAUUUUUUUUGCAGUGAUAGCAGUGUAACACUGAGUUAAAUGUGGUUUGUAUUCUAAAAGCAGAAAACUUUGUUGUCUUCUAAAGCAAAGGUUUACAUGUUUUCUGUCAUCUGUGGUAGCGGGUGCUAAACUCUUGCUGCCUGACCCCUGCUCAGUUACUGGAGGUAAUUAUAGAGCCUCUGUCAAUGCAGCUCCUCCCGAAGCCUGGGCUUCAGCACCAGUGGAAGCCAGAUGUACUAUAAUGUCGCUUUUUACAGUUUGUUUUGGCCAUACAUGGGCAGAGUCAGCUCUGGAAUUCCUUCCCUAUAAAUUCAAUAGCAUCUUGUGGGUGGUGCUGGGGAAUCACUCUGGUCUGGUUGGAUCGCCUCGCCUCAGCAGCCUGUUCCCCUUGAAAAUGUCGUGCUUUGCACAUUCCUGAGAGGCUGCCUGCUCCUGGAGCGAUGGCUGCGGCUACCAGGAGGCUGUUGUCCUGUGCUGGCAGGCGUAGUCACUUCCCUGCUGCCUGCAGGUCAGCCGUUGCAGCCGAGGACUGAUGCUUAUGGGAGCAUUGGCACGGGAAUAUUGCUCUGGUGUGCAUGCAGGCUCUGCAGGGACACAUGUUUUACAAAGCACCAGCUCGAUGAGCCAGAUCAGGGGAGGUUUUCCUGUGCCAGCUUAUUGUGGUCAGUUUUCGGUUCUCUCUUGCUCUUGGACCUUGUUCUAAAUUUGAUCUGCUCGAGAGGGAAGCGUGUUAAUGAAGGAGCUUGCCUGAAUGUUGGUAAGUGCAUCGUUGCUGUUUUAGCAAGCAACUUGGGACUUUUUUUUUUUUUUUGUGUUGUUUAGUCAGAUGGAUUGCAUCAAAGUGUUUGCCUUGCUGGUGGAGACAGGCGUGUGGAUCACCAGUCAACAGCAAGGGACCCAAUGAAACCUUCUGCAGUAGGGAAAGAUGACUUAGUGGAUUGGUCUCAAAGGCAAAAUGUUUCUUCAGGAGUAGGUAUAAAGAUAAUAUAAGCCAGCUCCCAUUCCGUCACACUCUUCCUUUUAGUUUCAUUGGUUAAUGCAGCAAGGCAGCAGAGCACUGUAGAGUUAAAUGAGUAUAUAUAUGCAUGUGGUCAGCAAGGAAAACAUAGCUUAUGUACGAUUUCUGUCUCUUAAGCAAGAGUGUGUGUUAAAAAGGCUGCAUAAUGCAUGGAUAUAUUUCUCUCAAAUGUUAAUAUUUAACUACUGUAAUAUGUGUAAAAUGUUAAUAUUUAGCUACUGGAUAAAGUUUCAGUGUCUGUUUUUUCCUGUUCUGUGUUUUUCUUUAGUGUGAAGUUUAGUGUGAAGUUUUUCUGAUAUUGUAGCUGGCUGUUUCUCUUUUUUUUCUUUUUUCACCCCCCCCGCCUUCCUUUCUCUUUCCUGAAAGGAAGCUGCAGUUCAUCCAGACAGUCAGGGACGUUGGGGGGAACCUGGAAGAUGCUCUGCUUCCCGUUUUGUUCAUGGCAGCUAAAACCAUGCCGGGAAAUCUGGAGCAGAGAUCCACCAUCCUGCAUUCCUUUUGUCAUUUGGAGCAUGUAACAAGCAUAGAGUGCUUUUAACGCUGCUCUGGGGGUUAUGUAGCUGCCACUCCUGCACCUCAAAUGGUCCUUUUACUUUGAAAGGGGCAUUGGUGACAACUCCUUUAUAGUUCCCACUGCUGGUUAGUAAUCCUUGUAUCUUCUCGCUAACUGGUAUUUUAGGCUGCUUCAAACCCGUUGCUAUCAUACUCUCUCUAUUUUAAAUUUAAGACCUUUGUUAGAAAGUUAAACCUCUUAUUGAUUUUUCUUUUGCCCUUUUAAAAAGGGAUUAAUACUCAUUGUGAGGU
ensembl:lncRNA